UCUACUUGGAGGCUGUGGUCAUGAACCGUGGCUUCCGGAGCUAACGCGUUAAGUAGACCGCCUGGGGAGUACGGCCGCAAGGUUAAAACUCAAAUGAAUUGACGGGGGCCCGCACAAGCGGUGGAGCAUGUGGUUUAAUUCGAUGCAACGCGAAGAACCUUACCUGGUCUUGACAUCCACAGAAUUCUCCGGAGACGGAGAAGUGCCUUCGGGAACUGUGAGACAGGUGCUGCAUGGCUGUCGUCAGCUCGUGUUGUGAAAUGUUGGGUUAAGUCCCGCAACGAGCGCAACCCUUAUCCUUUGUUGCCAGCGAUUCGGUCGGGAACUCAAAG
rnacentral:rRNA from 1 species